rnacentral:rRNA from 1 species
UCAAGCUACAAAGGGCGCAUGGUGAAUGCCUUGGCAUCAGGAGCCGAUGAAGGACGUGAUAAGCUGCGAUAAGCUUCGGGUAGGCGCACAUAGCCUGAGAUCCGAAGAUCUCCGAAUGAGGAAACUCACAUGGGAAACCCCAUGUAUCAUUAAGUGAAUACAUAGCUUAAUGAAGGUAACCCAGGGAACUGAAACAUCUAAGUACCUGGAGGAAGAGAAAGAAAAAUCGAUUUUCUUAGUAGCGGCGAGCGAAAGGGAAAGAGCCCAAACCGGAAACUUGUUUCCGGGGUUGUGGACAUAACAUAAAAGUGGAGGCUAUUGUAACUGAAGAGAACUGGAAAGUUCCACCGUAGAAGGUAAUAGUCCUGUAAGUGAAACGAGAAGACCACGAGUUAUGAUCCAGAGUACCACGAGACACGUGAAACCUUGUGGGAAGCAGGGAGGACCACCUCCCAAGGCUAAAUACUACCUGAUGACCGAUAGUGAAGCAGUACCGUGAGGGAAAGGUGAAAAGAACCCCGGGAGGGGAGUGAAAUAGAACCUGAAACCGUGUGCCUACAACCGCUCAGAGCCCCUUAUGAGGGUGAUGAGGUGCUUUUUGUAGAACGAGUCAACGAGUUACGGUAUGUAGCAAGGUUAAGUACUUAAGGUACGGAGCCGAAGGGAAACCGAGUCUGAAUAGGGCGACUAGUUGCAUGCCGUAGACCCGAAACCGGGUGACCUAUCCAUGGCCAGGUUGAAGCGAGGGUAAAACCUCGUGGAGGACCGAACCACGUUGCUGUUGAAAAAGCAUGGGAUGAGCUGUGGAUAGCGGAGAAAUUCCAAUCGAACCCGGAGAUAGCUGGUUCUCUCCGAAAUAGCUUUAGGGCUAGCGUCGAGUAUGAGUAGUGGAGGUAGAGCACUGAAUGGGCUAGGGGGCAUAGCGCUUACCGAACCUUAUCAAACUCCGAAUGCCACAUACUUUGAGCUCGGCAGUCAGACUACGAAUGAUAAGAUCCGUGGUCAAAAGGGAAACAGCCCAGAUCGUCAGCUAAGGUCCCAAAGUGUAAGUUAAGUGGGAAAGGAUGUGAGAUUUCUAAGACAACUAGGAUGUUGGCUUAGAAGCAGCCAUUCAUUAAAAGAGUGCGUAAUAGCUCACUAGUCGAGAGAUCUUGCGCCGAAAAUGUAACGGGGCUAAACUUACCACCGAAGCUACGGGCUUGAACUUAGUUCAAGCGGUAGGAGAGCGUCGUAACCGGGCUGAAGUCGUACCGUAAGGAGCGGUGGACUGGUUACGAGUGAGAAUGUUGGCAUCAGUAGCGAGAUGUGGGUGAGAAUCCCACAGGCCGAAAACCUAAGGUUUCCUCAGGAAGGUUCGUCCGCUGAGGGUUAGUCGGGACCUAAGCCGAGGCCGAAAGGCGUAGGUGAUGGACAACUGGUUGAUAUUCCAGUACCACUACCAUCGUUAUUAUCGAUGGCGUGACGCAGGAGGAUAGUGUGUGCUAGCUAUUGGAUGCUAGUCUAAGCGUUUAGGCAGUGAGAGUAGGCAAAUCCGCUCUCAUAAUGCUGAGGCGUGAUGGGGAAGGUUCUACGGAACCGGAGUACAUGAUUCCACGCUGCCAAGAAAAGCGUCUAGAGAGAGAAGUAGUGCCCGUACCGCAAACCGACACAGGUAGGUGAGGAGAGAAUCCUAAGGCCGGCGGAAGAAUUACAGUUAAGGAACUCGGCAAAUUGACCCCGUAAGUUCGCGAGAAGGGGUGCCUACGAGAGUAGGCCGCAGAGAAUAGGCCCAAGCAACUGUUUAGCAAAAACACAGGUCUCUGCUAAAGCGUAAGCUGAUGUAUAGGGGCUGACGCCUGCCCGGUGCUGGAAGGUUAAGGGGAACACUUAGCGCAAGCGAAGGUGUGAACUUAAGCCCCAGUAAACGGCGGCCGUAACUAUAACGGUCCUAAGGUAGCGAAAUUCCUUGUCAGGUAAGUUCUGACCCGCACGAAUGGCGUAAUGACUUGGGCACUGUCUCAACUGUAAAUCCGGCGAAGUUGUAGUGCGAGUGAAGAUGCUCGCUACCCGCGAUUGGACGGAAAGACCCCGUAGAGCUUUACUGUAGCUUAGCAUUGAGUUUUGGUAUUGUCUGUACAGGAUAGGUGGGAGACUAGGAAACCAGGGCGUCAGCCUUGGUGGAGUCAACCUUGGGAUACCACCCUGACAGUACUGAAAUUCUAACUGGCGGCCAUGAAUCUGGUCACAGGACAUUGUUAGGUGGGCAGUUUGACUGGGGCGGUCGCCUCCUAAAAAGUAACGGAGGCGCCCAAAGGUUCCCUCAGAACGGUCGGAAAUCGUUCGAAGAGUGCAAAGGCAGAAGGGAGCCUGACUGCGACACCCACAAGUGGAGCAGGGACGAAAGUCGGGCUUAGUGAUCCGGUGGUACCUCGUGGGAGGGCCAUCGCUCAACGGAUAAAAGCUACCUCGGGGAUAACAGGCUGAUCUCCCCCAAGAGUCCACAUCGACGGGGAGGUUUGGCACCUCGAUGUCGGCUCGUCGCAUCCUGGGGCUGAAGUAGGUCCCAAGGGUUGGGCUGUUCGCCCAUUAAAGCGGCACGCGAGCUGGGUUCAGAACGUCGUGAGACAGUUCGGUCCCUAUCCGUCGCGGGCGUAGGAAAUUUGAGAGGAGCUGUCCUUAGUACGAGAGGACCGGGAUGGACUGACCUCUGGUGUACCAGUUGUUCCGCCAGGAGCACAGCUGGGUAGCUAAGUCGGGAAUGGAUAAACGCUGAAAGCAUCUAAGCGUGAAGCCAACCUCAAGAUGAGAUUUCCCAUAGCAUAAGCUAGUAAGAUCCCUUGAAGAACACAAGGUUGAUAGGUCGGGGGUGUAAGCAUGGUAACAUGUUCAGCUGACCGAUACUAAUAGAUCGAGGGCUUGACCAA